rnacentral:rRNA from 1 species
AUUGAACGCUGGCGGCAGGCCUAACACAUGCAAGUCGAACGAGUGGCGGACGGGUGAGUAAUGUCUGGGAAACUGCCUGAUGGAGGGGGAUAACUAAUGGAAAAGGUAGCUAAUACCGCAUACCAUCGGAUGUGCCCAGAUGGGAGUAGCUAGUAGGUGGGGUACCGGCUCAACUAGGCGACGCUCCCUAGGUGGUCUGAGAGGAUGACCAGCCAAACUGGACCUGAGACACGGUCCGGACUCCUACGGGAGGCAGCAGUGGGGAAUAUUGCACAAUGGGCGCAAGCCUGAUGCAGCCAUGCCGCGUGUGUGAAGAAGGCCUUCGGGUUGUAAAGCACUUUCAGCGGGGAGGCGUUACCCGCAGAAGAAGCACCGGCUAACUCCGUGCCAGCAGCCGCGGUAAUAC